GAGAGAGCGAUCUGGAGGCAAAUCCCAAAAAUAAACGUCCCAGUUCGGAUUGUAGUCUGCAACUCGACUACAUGAAGCUGGAAUCGCUAGUAAUCGCGAAUCAGCAUGUCGCGGUGAAUACGUUCCCGGGUCUUGUACACACCGCCCGUCACACCAUGGGAGUCGGUAACGCCCGAAGUCAGUGACCCAACCGCAAGGAGGGAGCUGCCGAAGGUGGAGCUGGUAACUGGGGUGAAGUCGUAACAAGGUAAC
rnacentral:rRNA from 1 species